rnacentral:tRNA from 6 species
GCGCCUGUAGCUCAGUUGGAUAGAGCAACGGACUUCUAAUCCGUAGGUCGGGGGUUCGAAUCCCUCCAGGCGUGCCA